UACGCCAUCGGCCCCCGCACCGGCGAAACCAAGACGACGGAAUACACAAAACUCAAUCCGCGUCAGAAAGUCCCCCUGCUCCAGGACGGCGAUUUCUCGAUCGGCGAAAGCGCUGCCAUNNNNNUCUUUCAAAAACCUAUGGCAGUCCGGAUAAGGCGCUGAUCCCCGACGACAAGCAGGCCUACGCGAAGUGGCUGGAAUGGUGCUUCUUCAUCGUCACCGAACUCGAUUCCA
rnacentral:misc_RNA from 1 species